UACGUAGGCAGCGAGCGUUGUUCGGAGUUACUGGGCGUAAAGGGUGUGUAGGCGGUUCUUUAAGUUUGGUGUGAAAUCUCCCGGCUCAACCGGGAGGGUGCGCCGAAAACUGAGGGACUUGGAGUGCGGGAGAGGAAAGUGGAAUUCCUGGUGUAGCGGUGAAAUGCGUAGAUAUCAGGAGGAACACCGGUGGUGUAGACGGCUUUCUGGACCGUAACUGACGCUGAGACACGAAAGCGUGGGUAGCAAACAGG
rnacentral:rRNA from 1 species